GUGUCCCCCGAGCAGGUUCCGGACCACCUCGCAGCGCCGCGUCCUUAGGGGCGGGCUCGGGGGGCACCACCCUCGAGGGGCGGAACCCGUGGGGGCGGUGGCGUGGAUCCGGAGGUACCUGGUAAGAACCUCCAGUCAGUGUCAGCUCCGCUAGGACCGCUCGGCCAUUAGCAAUGCAGCUGUACAUGAUCGUCAUAGCAGGCGGGCCAGUGAAGGAAAGGCUCCUCUGGACCCAACCGUCCGGGACAGCCUCGGGGCGGUGACCGGGGCGGGGCUUCGGGAGAGGGCGGUGCGUGCGCAGGCGCGAAGAGGGACUGAUUGGCAGGGAGAGAGGCGGGGCCGUCUCCAGCCCUAGCGGCGCGUUUGACGGGACACGGGCGGGGUCUCUGGAGAAACCUGCUUUGGGUGGCAGCCUUUCUCCUUAAAAUCAUUUGUCGAGCGCCAGUGUACUUCAUAGUGUUUACCUCCUUAUGAUUUAUUCACAAUCUAGAGCAUGUGAAAUGUAGACCUUGAUUUUAAAGAAAAUUAAUUCAUUAAUCCAGGCAUUUAUUGAACUCCGGCUGUGCGCUAAAUGCCUUAGAUUCCUGGGUAUGCAAGUAGGUCGGCCCCGACCUUGAAGUUGAGGAGUUCAUAUUCUAGUAGUGGUUACAGAGGCACAGGCGGAGAAACGCCAGUCUCAAGUGGUAUGCGUGUGCUAUCAGGGAAAGAUGAACAAAGCUGCAGAAGAUGGGAUGGAGAGCUAGCAAAGCUUUAAAAGUCCUUGACUUAGAGGAUGGGUUGGCGUUCUCUAAGUGGGGAGGAAAGAAAGAUAGGAGAGUCUAGGCAGAGGGAAUAGCUUCUGUAAAGGCUUGAAAGAAGGCAGGUGGGUUUGGGGGAUGAGUGUGGCAGAGAAAAGGUGUAUGAGAGAGUAGGUAGGAGGGCAGAGUGGAAGGAGUGGUAGCAUGACUUUUGUUGUCUUAGACCUUGGGUGCCUUGACAAUAAUUUUUUAAAAGUGUGACCUUAUAUAUUUUCAUCACCAAGGUAUUGUGGUAGAGUGGAAAGAGUUUGCCUUUGAAGUCAGACAAACUUAGAUUCAUAUAUGGGCAUUGCCCAUGUACUCCAUGAGUUUAUGUAACUUAAUCUUUCUGAGAGUCAGUUUCCUAGUUCAUAAAAUGGGGGUAAUUGUCAAGUUUAAAUGAAAUAAUUAUGCAAAAAUAUUAGCAUACAGUAGUUAUGCAAUUGCAGUAAUUUGUGAUAAGUACAUAUUACUUUCUUGCUCCCAAUGGUGUAAUCUUUUUUUUUUUUUGAGACAGGGUCUAGAGUGCAGUGGCAUGAUCACGGCUCACUGCAACCUCCACCUUCUGGGUUGAAACGAUCCUUCCACCUCAGCCUCCUGAGUAGCUGGGACCACAGGUGUGUGCCACCACGCCUGACUAAUUUUUGUAUUUUUAGUAGAGACGGGGUUUCACCAUGUUGGCCAAACUGGUCUUGAACUCUUGACCUCAAGUGGUCCACUCUCCUUGGUCUCCUAAAGUGCUGGGAUUACAGGUGUGUCACUGCGCCUGAACCCAAUGGUGUAACCUUAAAGAAUGACAAUCAGUAUCCUUCUGGGUGUCUGGGUGAAGGCAGGUAGUCAAUUCCAUUUCCUUUAACACAGGGUAAUCAAAUUGGAUUUGACAAGGAAGGAGCGAAACUGGUCUGCACUAUAGCUCCUGAGAAAAAUGCCUUGUUGAAUCAUGUAUCCUAUAUACAGGAAAUCUCGAAUCAGUGUGUCUUAUCAGCUUGAUAAGUGUGUCUGUGUUACAGGCAGGGUGACUGAUUAAAACCACUGGUCACAUUACUUAUACCUGGGAAGAGGAAAUUUGUUAACUCUGGGGUAAUGCUUUUGCUUACCCCAGGGUCUUGCUUACAGUAAAAACAAACCGAAUAAACCUCACCACAAAUCUAUCUUUUUUGAGCCCCUUCUCCCUGGUGAGCUUUCAGCACAGCAGUCAUUCUAAGCCUUUAAUCCUCCCCUCCAAUUGCAUACUGUCCCUUGUGCUUUCUUUCCUUCCUGUAUGUUUUCUGUAUGCUGUAUUAUGCCUGAUAGCCAAGGCUUACUCUAGUCAAUGCCAGGUUUCCUCACUUAACUCAGGAUUUCUCCCUUUCCUUCUUUCCCCAUGGGGUGGCAUCUCUGAGUGUGGGAAACUUGGUGGAGGGAAAGAGCUUCCAAUUAGUGACCUUCGUCCCUCUAAGGUGGAAUCUGCAGCUAAUGUUUGUUUUCUGUCUGUCUCUGAUCACCAGUCACACACUCUACUUGGAACCCCAAGGCCCCUUUAGGUGCUCUGUUUCUCUUUCAGUCACUUUUUUGGUCCUCUUGGAGGCGAAGAAAAAUUCCCACUGCUCCCACAUGUCAUUGUGAGGCUGCGGGUGGCUCCAGAGGCUGUGUCACAAUAUGCCCUCCUGUCGCACUCUCCUGUUGUGCUGUGUCACUGCUAUCAUGUGGGGAGCAGCUUUUAGACCUUACUUCAUUUGGGAAGCAAGCUCUUGGAUCCCCAAUUUACUAGGAGUCUUCUCAUCACCACACUAUGUCACCCCUCACUUCCUAGAGAGGGCUCUAGCUAGUUGGAGUGCUUCCUUCUCAUUCUGUCCUUCUCUGACAUGUGGACAUUCCAGCAAGUCUAGGUAGGGCAACUCUGACCACCCUGGGCGUUUUCCCAGUUGAUGCCAUGAACGUUGAUUGUCUGAAACCUUUUUUUCCCCAUAUACUCUGUUUUCAGAGAGUUCCCAAAAUCUAUUUUGAAACUUUUUAGAAUGAGAAGCUUUUCUGUCUUACUCUCUUCUUCCUCCAUCUCUCCUUCCUCCUCCUCCAUUUUUUUCAUUCUCCAUUUUUGUGCCAAAGAGAAUAACUGAGAAUGAAAACCACG
rnacentral:lncRNA from 10 species